rnacentral:rRNA from 1 species
UCCUGGCUCGGAUUAACGCUGGCGGCGUGCAUAACACAUGCAAGUCGAACGAUGAAGCUUUUUUGAUUUCUUCGGAAUGAUUAAAAGUGGAUUAGUGGCGGACGGGUGAGUAACGCGUGAGUAACCUGCCUUAGAGAAGGGGAUAGCCUUUGGAAACGAAGAAUAAUACCCUAUGAAACCAUAACCUCGCAUGAGGCCUUGGUCAAAGAUUUAUCGCUCUAAGAUGGACUUGCGCCUGAUUAGUUAGUUGGUGGGGUAACGGCCUACCAAGACAGCGAUCAGUAGCCGGCUUGAGAGAGUGUACGGCCACAUUGGGACUGAGACACGGCCCAGACUCCUACGGGAGGCAGCAGUGGGGAAUUUUGCACAAUGGGGGAAACCCUGAUGCAGCGACGCCGCGUGAUUUAGAAGGCCUUCGGGUUGUAAAAAUCUUUUCUAUGGGAAGAAAAUGACAGUACCAUAGGAAUAAGGACCGGCUAAUUACGUGCCAGCAGCCGCGGUAAUACGUAAGGUCCGAGCGUUGUCCGGAAUCAUUGGGCGUAAAGGGUACGUAGGCGGGUAAGCAAGUUAGAAGUGAAAUCCUAUAGCUCAACUAUAGUAAGCUUUUAAAACUGCUCAUCUUGAGGUAUGGAAGGGAAAGUGGAAUUCCUAGUGUAGCGGUGAAAUGCGCAGAUAUUAGGAGGAAUACCGGUGGCGAAGGCGACUUUCUGGCCAUAACCUGACGCUGAGGUACGAAAGCGUGNGUAGCAAACAGGAUUAGAUACCCUGGUAGUCCACGCCCGUAACGAUGAGUGUUAGGUGUCUGGAGUAAAUCU